GAUUUUCGUGAGCGGCUCUACACUUGGGUAAGGAAUAACGUAGAGAAAUUUGCGCUAAUACCUUAUAACGACUCCGGUCCAAAGAUUUAUCGCCCAGGAAUGAGCCCGCGCUAGAUUAGGUUGUUGGUGGGGUAAUGGCCUACCAAGCCUACGAUCUAUAGCUGGUCUUAGAGGAUGAUCAGCCACACUGGUACUGAGACACGGACCAGACUCCUACGGGAGGCAGCAGUGAGGAAUAUUGCGCAAUGGAGGAAACUCUGACGCAGCCAUGCCGCGUGAGUGAAGAAGGCCCUAGGGUUGUAAAGCUCUUUCAGAUGCGAAGAUAAUGACGGUAACAUCAGAAGAAGCCCCGGCUAAAUUCGUGCCAGCAGCCGCGGUAAUACGAAUGGGGCGAGCGUUGUUCGGAAUCACUGGGCGUAAAGCGUAUGUAGGCGGACUUGAAAGUCAGAAGUGAAAUCCCGGGGCUCAACCCCGGAACUGCUUUUGAAACUCCUAGUCUCGAAUCCCGGAGGGGUCAGCGGAAUUCCGAGUGUAGAGGUGAAAUUCGCAGAUAUUCGGAGGAACACCAGUGGCGUAGGCGACUGACUGGACGGGCAUUGACGCUGAGAUACGAAAGCGUGGGGAGCAAACAGGAUUAGAUACCCUGGUAGUCCACGCCGUAAACGAUGUGUGCUAGUUGUCGGGUCUUAAAGAUUCGGUGACGCCGCUAACGCAUUAAGCACACCGCCUGGGGAGUACGGUCGCAAGAUUAAAACUCAAAGGAAUUGACGGGGACCCGCACAAGCGGUGGAGCAUGUUGUUUAA
rnacentral:rRNA from 1 species